GGCUGGAUCACCUCCUUUUGAGCAUGACGUCAUUCGUCCUGUCGGGCGUCCUCACAAAUUACCUGCAUUCAGAGAUUCAUACCGGCACAGGUCGGUAUGCGAAGUCCCUUUUGGGGCCUUAGCUCAGCUGGGAGAGCACCUGCUUUGCAAGCAGGGGGUCGUCGGUUCGAUCCCGACAGGCUCCACCAUAUUGAGUGAAAAGACUUCGGGUCUGUAGCUCAGGUGGUUAGAGCGCACCCCUGAUAAGGGUGAGGUCGGUAGUUCGAGUCUACCCAGACCCACCACUCUGAAUGUAGUGCACACUUAAGAAUUUAUAUGGAUCAGCGUUGAGGCUGAGACAUGUUCUUUUAUAACUUGUGACGUAGCGAGCGUUUGAGAUAUCUAUCUAAACGUGUCGUUGAGGCUAAGGCGGGGACUUCGAGUCCCUAAAUAAUUGAGUCGUAUGUUCGCGUUGGUGGCUUUGUACCCCACACAACACGUACAUGUAACUCCGAGGCAACUUGGGGUUAUAUGGUCAAGCGAAUAAGCGCACACGGUGGAUGCCUUGGCA
rnacentral:tRNA from 1 species